AACAUUUUGUGCUGCUGCUCUCAAUGCCUUAAAAGCUUUCCACUUGCCACCAGUGGCAAGCACCUGAAAGGCUUUUACUGUGAAAGAAGCUAGUCACCAAGAACUAUUCCCCAUUUGAGCGGCAUACUUCAGGCGCUCAGCUGUCACCUUGGGUAGUCUGACAGGAUCUCACUGGAGGUCACCUUGAGAAUCAGGAGGACAUAAACAUGUGGGGUUCAGGCUCCAUCCUUAGAUCCGGCCCCCUUCUGCACAGACCAACCAGUAGGAGUCACUAUAUCGACAAGGACAUCAGCGCUCACUUGCUCACAACAAGCCACUACUGCCAACAGUGUUCGAUGGUUAAAAAAAAAAAAGAAUACUGCCAAAUGCGUGCUACUUCACUUUAAUGAUUGAGCUGUGUGACAAAGUGUGGGGACAACAGGAGGUGAUGGACACAGUUAGUAGAGGGUUGCUUUCAUCUUAGCCUUGUUAGACAGUGCAGACAUUUGGCUUCCAGCAUGCUUCAUAUUCUAAUGAUGCUCACAAUAUAAUUUAUUCUAUCUGUAGCCUAUAAUAUAAACCCAUGUUUACCUAUAUUUCACAAUGCAUUAAUCAAAGUUGUAUUCAGAUGUAGUUUGUCCACAUUACCUUUAUAUUUCUCACAAAAAAAAAUCACAUUACACCCACUUUUCACACAUCUCAACACGCAAAUGCACUUAACUUGGACAACACUACCUUUCCACGGUGACAGUAAACAUCUGUUUUCAUUGUACUGCAUUGUAAGUCUCAUCCAUGUCCAAUGGCUGGAGCCAUUCCCAGUGUGCAUUGGAGGGAAGGCAGGAAACACACACAUCUAUACACUCACACACAGAGACUUACUCUCAGUCACACCUACAGUAUAAGUGAUUUGGAGUCAUCAAUGAACUUGGCCUGGUUUCAGCAAUUGUGUGGGUGUAUCUAUGAUGGGAUUCAUGCACAUUGUGUAUAAUGGGAAGUAUGUAAUACAUAUUAUAUCUCUUAGGCAUUUACAUGUGUGUGCAAGUGAGCUCUGAAAAGCUCAUCACAGAAAGCAAGAAGCACAUUUCUAAAUAGUCAACGUGACAGCUAUUUACAUAAUGAGGUACACCACUUGUAAUUUUACUGCUGUUAAACAGCUGCAAGUUAAUGGUUAGAGAGAAAAGAGACAACAAAGUACUGGCAAUGAUGUUCUGUCUUACUACAAUGUUCUUUUCUCCACUGAUCAGACACAGGUGUACAGUGGACACAGUUACACCCACACAAACGCUGUCAACACCUAAGUUGAUGAAUAUAGCACUCUACAGUAACUGAGUUCCUGACGCCCUUAUAAUAUUUAACAACAAUCAAAUUAAAUUCUCCUUGAAGUGUUUAUCUAGAGAAUUCAUAUAGCCCAGGUAUGAUUACAUUUGUUGUAACCGUAUUUAGAAAUAUAGAUUGCAUUCAAUUGGUUUCCACAAGUGGUGAGAAGGAGGACUCUAAUGGGAUGCUCAUGCAGCCCUGUUUCUGCUUUUGUAGAUGACUAAGAGAGAUUUUGUAGGCAACCGUUUGCUAACACGGUAGACAUAACAACCUGCUAAUAUGAAACAGUAAAACAAGGGAUGUGUCCAAAAUGAUUCCCCAACUGCCAUGUAGUGUCCAAGAAUUGAAUUCUGAAUGUCAUUGUCAUUCAGUGUCAUGAUAUAGUGGCUUAAAAUCCUCACAAUAGACCAAAAAAAGAUACAAGUAAUCCCACAUAAAAUAUAUAUGUCUUUAAAAGGUUCCUAAGAACUGACUGCUGACGUAUUGCGGUAAGCGU